GAAAAGGUGGUAGAAGCCUGGGCAGUUGAUGUGAAAAAGGUGAUUGGUUCAGAAGUCUGAAAGCAGUGGGGAAGAAGCUGUUCUUGAGUCUGAUCAUCUGUCAUUUCAAUCAAGCUCCUCUUUCUUAUCCCAGAAGGUAGAAGAGAGGAAAGGGAAUGGCCAGGGUGGCAGACGUCAUUGAAGAUACUGUCGGCCUUUCUGAAGCAAUGCACCAUGAAGAUUCACAGGAGGAUUCAAAAUAAAUUUGUUAUCAAAGUACAUAUAUGUCAACAUAUACCACCUAAGAUUCAUUUUCUUGCAGGCAUUCCCAGUAGAACAAAGAAGUACAAUAGAAUCAAUAGGAAACUACACGUAAAGACUGACAAACAUGCAAUGUGCAAAAGAAAAACUCAAGUAAUAAAGCUGGAUUGGAUGGUAGGACGUGACAAGCCUGUGAUGGGCUGGGCAGUGUCUGCCACUCUCUGCAGGUUCUGGCGGUCCUGAACGUCCUUCCUGGUUGAUUGCUCAGCCACCACAGAUGGGCGCCUUUCAACAUGUACAGGAUUGUUCUGACGCAGCCUCCUUUCUCGUCUCCUGAGACCUGUUAGCAAGUGCAUCUCUCCCUCUCUCUUUCACAAACAUUUCUGUUUGCUCUAUUAAAAUGAUUAUCAGCAGCACUCCCUUGGAGCUUAGAUGUUCUGAUUACAAACACACAAUGAAGGAAGCAAUAAUCUAAUUCGGUUGAUUGAUGUCAGGUAGGUUUGCAUCAUUUGAUUAGCCCAAUAGGAAAUCUUCUGUAAUGAUUCAAUGCCGACGUCUGCUAGACAACUUGGUGGGGAGCAAUCCUACUCAGAAUAUCAUCAAGCCUGUUCCAGUAAAUGAAUCGAAAAGGCAACGCCAGUGUUUUACAAUAUCCUUGCCUGCAACAAUUGACAGGCAAAUCACUGUCAUCUGUGCUGACCAACUGCUCAUCUGCAGCUCUUGACCCGCUUGUGAAGGAUAAUGUUAAGCAGUUUUGCAGGCAAGAGAUUGAAGUGCCCUUGCAUUGAUUUACAGGAGUGUGCAAUUGCAUUACAGCAAUCAACUCUCAGGAAUUCAACAAAGGCAAGGCGAUUGGCUCAAGUCAGCGGGAACAAGGGACUUUGAUCAGUUCGUGGAUUUCCUGACAAGAAACUACGGCAAAGGAACUACAGAUACCAAAAAGAAACUCCAGCGUGGAAUCAUGAAUUUAAAUCAAUCCAAAUGUCCUGAUGAAAUUGUGACAAUUCCUUUCCUCCCUGAUGGUGCUUAACCCACUGAGUUCCUGCAGCAUUGUUCCCUAAAAUGCCCAUCCUCUAGAUCCACAAUAAUUCACAGAAUGCAAGAGCAAUCCAGCAAAGAAGAGAAAGGAAAGAGGCAUUUAAAUUUCCAAUGCCUGGAGGUUCUACACUUGCUUCAUACUAAUGGAUGAAUAUGAGAAUGCGCACUCUUAAUAACACAAUGAUUAGUAACAGUUCCUGACAACUGAUUCCGUGCAAAUUACACUGGUUUUAGGCCAAAAGCAUUGAUGGGUUGUACUAUGAAGAAUUAUCUGAAAAAUAAUGGACCGAAUUAAAAACAUCUAUUAGUUUGUCAAUUGGAAUCAUUUUAAACGGGCGUCAUGAAAGAAAUCAAAAUAUUUUGAAGGAGGGCGAAUCUUAAAAUUAGUCAGCUCCAUCGUGGGUACUAGCCUCCGUAGUAUCCAAGACAUCUUCGAGGAGUGGUACCACAGGAAGGGGGUGUCCAUCGUUAAGGACCCCCACCACCCAGGACAUGCACUCUUCUCACUGUUACCAUCAGGCAGGAGAGACAGAAGCCUGAAGAUACACACUUAAGGAUUUAGGAACAGCUUCUCCCCCACAGUUGUCAGGUUUCUAAAGGGAUAUUGAACCCAUGAACUCAGCACUUUCUUUUUUAUUUAUUUCUGUUUUAGCACUACUAAUUUAACACAACUAUUUAAUAUACAUGUAUAAACUUAUUGUAAUUCCUAUUUCCUUCUAUAUUUAUCAUGUAUUGUGUUGUACUACCGCUGCAAAGUUAACAAAAUCCAUGACACAUGCUAGUGGAUAGUAAACCUGAUUCUUGUAUCCCCACUUCAGUGAUAUCUAUUUCUCAUUCUGUUCAGCUUAGUUGCUGAUGAAACCCUAGAGCAUUUGUUAACUUCCCAUUUGAUUUUUGUUUUCACUGCACUCAUCACAAAUCUCUCAUCAUCCA